UCGGGAAUUUUGGGCAAUGGGCGCAAGCCUGACCCAGCAACGCCGCGUGAAGGAUGAAAUCCCUCGGGAUGUAAACUUCGCAAGAAUGGGAAGAAGGUCGGAGGGUGAUAACCCCUUUUGGCUUGACGGUACCAUUUGUAAGCUCCGGCUAACUUCGUGCCAGCAGCCGCGGUAAUACGAGGGGAGCAAGCGUUGUUCGGAUUUACUGGGCGUAAAGGGCGCGUAGGCGGCUCUACAAGUCACUUGUGAAAUCUCCGGGCUUAACUCGGAACGGUCAAGUGAUACUGUCGAGCUAGAGUACAGAAGGGGCAACUGGAAUUCUCGGUGUAGCGGUGAAAUGCGUAGAUAUCGAGAGGAACACCUGCGGCGAAGGCGGGUUGCUGGGCUGAUACUGACGCUGAGGCGCGAAAGCCAGGGGAGCGAACGG
rnacentral:rRNA from 1 species